GACGAACCGUCCGAACGUUAUUCGGAAUUACUGGGCUUAAAGCGCGUGUAGGCGGCCCGGCGCGUCGGACGUUGAAAUCCCCCGGCUCAACCGGGGAAGUGGCGCCGAUACGGCCGGGCUGGAGGGGGGUAGGGGGGCCUGGAACUUCGGGUGGAGCGGUGAAAUGCGUUGAGAUCCGAAGGAACGCCCGUGGCGAAAGCGAGGCCCUGGACCCUUACUGACGCUGAGACGCGAAAGCCAGGGGAGCGAA
rnacentral:rRNA from 1 species